GAGUCCCACUGCAAGGAAUGCAGUGGCACCCAGUCAACCACCAGUGCUAACCACAAUCUCCCUGCAGAUCUAAACAAACCUGGCAGCUCAGCUUUGUGUAGUAAGGCCACAUAAAAAAAUGCGAGCGCCUUUUCCUUUCCUCACUAUUCUUUUUUUUGGUCUUUUUUUCUCUUUUCUGGAAAAGUCUGAAGGAGUUAAGCAGAUUUCCUAAGCAGAGAAGAGACCCACCACUUGUAACACUCUCACAACCUUCAGCAUCUCUUAUGUUGUGAUUUCUGCUUUACCUGAAACCUGUCAAGUGUGAGUCACAUCCAUUUCCCUUAUGCCAUGAUAGGGAGGAAUGCUGAUAUGUGGGAACUGACAAAGAAGCAUGAGAGAGCCGAUGUUCACCUCUUAAACCUGAUGAAAUUUGCUGGUGAAUCACAGGCUGCAAAAUACAACUGAGCAAGUUAAAUUCCACUUCCCUUGAACACGGAA
rnacentral:lncRNA from 1 species